rnacentral:pre_miRNA from 1 species
AAUAGAUGACGCUGUUGACUUUUGUACACACGUUUGAUCAUUCGUGUUAUUAAAAAAUUUACAUAAUUACAAUUUAUUUUAUUGUGAGUUGUUUUAUCACUAAAAAUACUUUAAAAAUGAUUCAUAUCUUAUGCAUUUGCACAAAAUUUUUAAAUAAGACGAAUGAUCAAACAUGUAUCCAAAAGUUAACGGCGUCAUCUAUU